GUCUCUUGUCUCUCUCUUAUCUUCUUCUCCUUUCUAAUAAACGUGUUUUUUUCUUUUUUCUUUUCCUCCCAAACCACCGAUCUGUACUGUGAUUCAACUCCUUCACAACCCAGCCUUAGCACCGAUCUCUCUCUAUGGCUCCCACUAAAGGAUAUGUCACUUUUGUUAGAUAAAGCUAGCGAUUAUGGACUGUGGCUAUGAUUUGUUGAGCUUCUUUGAGUUGUGAAACUGAAGCUCUCUCUCUUUCCAAAGAGUACCGAUCACACAUGCAGCAGAACAACAUCCUGAUGAGGUCAGAUUUUCAAGGUUCGAGGUUCAAGGUUCAAACUUUUCCUCUCUUUCUUCUUUUGAUUUUAUGAUUUGAGAAGAUAAUAUUGAAUUGCAUGUGAUUGAGUUAGUAAAUAGGAUUUAGGAUGGGCGAAUUUUUUGCAUUCAAAGUUUAAUUUUUUUAUAAGAGUGCUUAUGCAUAUACAUGUUUGUGAAAAUGCCAAAAAGGGCUAUUUUAUAUUUUUUGUUCUCUGUGCAUAAUUUUUCCUUUCCAUACCUUAGUUAUGUAAUAGGUCAUGGUAAUGUUUUUGAUGUGUUUGGAUUUGGUUAGCUUCUUGUCAUGGCAAUAGCUAUGCUUGGCUGAGCUUUGCAUUUUGAGGAUAAUGUCUUAAUUCUUCAAGAAAAGAAAGAAAAAAAGAAGAAGAAAAUAAAUUGUAGAUAUUGGUCUAUAUGCGUGUUUGUCAUGUUUGUGAAGCUUAGGCCGUGUCAUUGAGUUCAUGACAGCUUGCCCACAAUGUGUUGGUGGGUUGUUUGUCCAACAAUUCUUUGAGUACUUUAGCCUUCUUGGUUAAGCUCCCUUUGUUAGAUCAUGUCUUCAUCCAUAAUGAACAACAUCUUGGCCACUAAAAGUCAUAAAAUUUUUGAACAUAUUGAAUUGCCAAGUCUUAUCAAUUUUUUUUUUCAUAAAUGAUAGAUACGUAAAUUUUAUCAAUUUGAAAAUAGAAUUAUUACACUUUAGAACACGCUGCAUCUACAAUAAAGAACAAACUAACUCUAUGCCGCCUUACUAGACGAAAAACAUAAUGCUUAUCAAGUAUCAAACAAAAGAAAUUUUCGGAGUUUCUAUGACAAACUUGACAGAACAAAAGGGCCCAAGAAUUAUUAGUAAAAAAAAA